rnacentral:siRNA from 1 species
CUGAAAAUUCAGGCAACCCUU